rnacentral:rRNA from 1 species
AAGGGCACCACAAGAACGCGUGGAGCAUGUGGCUUAAUUUGACUCAACGCGGGAAAUCUUACCGGGUCCGGACACAUUGAGGAUUGACAGGUGCUAUUUAUAACAUUUUACUUUAGCAUUUUUUGUUUUAACAAUAAGUGUUAAAAAUAAAAUUUAUAAUUCUAAAGAUGCAAGUUCUUUCAUGAUUGUGUGAUAGGUGGUGCAUGGCCGUUCUUAGUUCGUGGAAUGAUUUGUCUGCUUAAUUGCGUUUCCGAUAACGUCUUACUAGCAAUGACAUAAACUAAAUAUAUUAUUGGUAAUAACUUUUUUUACAAAUUCGUUUGUUAAAAAAAAUCCUUUAAUCUUUUAUUUAGACUUAUGUCAUAGUACAGACGUGGAAGGCAACGAACGUGACCG